rnacentral:rRNA from 1 species
AACCCCUGUGAACAUACCACUUGUUGCCUCGGCGGAUCAGCCCGCUCCCGGUAAAACGGGACGGCCCGCCAGAGGACCCCUAAACUCUGUUUCUAUAUGUAACUUCUGAGUAAAACCAUAAAUAAAUCAAAACUUUCAACAACGGAUCUCUUGGUUCUGGCAUCGAUGAAGAACGCAGCAAAAUGCGAUAAGUAAUGUGAAUUGCAGAAUUCAGUGAAUCAUCGAAUCUUUGAACGCACAUUGCGCCCGCCAGUAUUCUGGCGGGCAUGCCUGUUCGAGCGUCAUUUCAACCCUCAAGCACAGCUUGGUGUUGGGACUCGCGUUAAUUCGCGUUCCUCAAAUUGAUUGGCGGUCACGUCGAGCUUCCAUAGCGUAGUAGUAAAACCCUCGUUACUGGUAAUCGUCGCGGCCACGCCGUUAAACCCCAACUUCUGAAUGUUGACCUCGGAUCAGGUAGGAAUACCCGCUGAACUUAAGCAUAUCAAUAAGCGGAGGAA